GACGAACGCUGGCGGCGUGCUUAACACAUGCAAGUCGAACGGAAAGGCCCCUUUGGGGGUACUCGAGUGGCGAACGGGUGCGUAACACGUGAGUAACCUGCCCUUGACUUCGGGAUAACUUCAGGAAACUGGGGCUAAUACCGGAUAGGAAUCCUUGCUGCAUGGUGGGGGUUGGAAAGCUUCGGCGGGUUUGGCUGGACUCGCGGCUUAUCAGCUUGUUGGUGGGGUAGUGGCUUACCAAGGCUUUGACGGGUAGCCGGCCUGAGAGGGCGACCGGCCACACUGGGACUGAGAUACGGCCCAGACUCCUACGGGAGGCAGCAGUGGGGAAUCUUGCACAAUGGGCGGCAGCCUGAUGCAGCAACGCCGCGUGCGGGAUGACGGCCUUCGGGUUGUAAACCGCUUUCAGCAGGGGCGAAGCUUGUGGUGACGGUACCUGCAGAAGAAGCACCGGCUAACUACGUG
rnacentral:rRNA from 1 species